GAUGAACGCUGGCGGCGUGCCUAAUACAUGCAAGUCGAGCGAACGGACGAGAAGCUUGCUUCUCUGAUGUUAGCGGCGGACGGGUGAGUAACACGUGGAUAACCUACCUAUAAGACUGGGAUAACUUCGGGAAACCGGAGCUAAUACCGGAUAAUAUUUUGAACCGCAUGGUUCAAAAGUGAAAGACGGUCUUGCUGUCACUUAUAGAUGGAUCCGCGCUGCAUUAGCUAGUUGGUAAGGUAACGGCUUACCAAGGCAACGAUGCAUAGCCGACCUGAGAGGGGGACGGCCCAACGGGAAACGGAGACACGGCCCAACCCCCGAGGGAGGGCAAAGGUGGGGAAUCUUCCGAAAGGGGGGAAAGCCUGACGGAGCAACGCGGGGGAGGUGAUGAAGGGUUUGGGGUGGAAAACUUUUUUUUUUGGGAAAAAACAUUUUUGAAAGAAACUGGGCACUUUUUGCGGUUCCCAAUUAAAAAGCCCCGGCUAACUUCCGU
rnacentral:rRNA from 1 species